AGAACGAACGCUGGCGGCAUGCCUAAUACAUGCAAGUCGAACGAACACUUCGGUGUUAGUGGCGCACGGGUGCGUAACGCGUGGGAAUCUGCCCUUGGGUUCGGAAUAACAGUUGGAAACGACUGCUAAUACCGGAUGAUGACGAAAGUCCAAAGAUUUAUCGCCCAGGGAUGAGCCCGCGUAGGAUUAGCUAGUUGGUGAGGUAAAGGCUCACCAAGGCGACGAUCCUUAGCUGGUCUGAGAGGAUGAUCAGCCACACUGGGACUGAGACACGGCCCAGACUCCUACGGGAGGCAGCAGUAGGGAAUAGUUGGACAAGUGGGCGCAAG
rnacentral:rRNA from 1 species